rnacentral:rRNA from 1 species
UACGGGGGGGGCAAGCGUUGUUCGGAAUUACUGGGCGUAAAGGGCGCGUAGGCGGCCUGCUAAGUCACACGUGAAAUCCCUCGGCUCAACCGGGGAACUGCGUGUGAUACUGGCGGGCUUGAAUUCGGGAGAGGGAUGUGGAAUUCCAGGUGUAGCGGUGAAAUGCGUAGAUAUCGGAAGGAACAUCAGUGGCGAAAGCGGCUUCCUGGACCAGUACCGACGUUCAGGCACGAAAGCGUGGGGAGCAAACAGG